GACGGAAGUAGUAUCAAAAAGGAAUUAAGAAUUGUUAUAUAUUUGGCGAAGAAUAAAAACAAUGAGAACAAAUUUAAGAAAAUCUCUGGCCUAGAGGUUGUUCGAUGAAAUUUCCAUAUGUGUCGGUAUGUCUCUUCUGCCUUUUUUAGCUUCCCAUAGGGGGGGGAGGCUUUCAAUAACUGUGAUCAGAGAGUGGUGGUGGACGACGUACUUCGGUUAGCGGGCUUCUCUUGGUUUCAAUUCUUUGUGCACCGUCAUGUCUUCGUGCUCUUUUUCUUGGGCCUCUGAAAUUGAAAAUGAUUUGUUGAUUGAAUUGUGAAUUGAAAUAAGUAAAUUGACAACGAAAAGGACUGAAAUUGAAAUUGGAUGACAAUUUAUAGCUUGUUGAGGAUAUUAAUUUAUAUCAACCUUACUUUUCGACUUCAAAAUUGCUGGAAUCUCCAUUAAUUUUGAUUUUUUCUGCACUUUUUUCUACUUUAGUAGAGAUUCUAAUUUACUGCAAUUCUAAAUCUUUAAGCUUCUUCAUUUGUUGAUUAGUUUUUCAUUCGAGCCCUAGUGUUUCAUUUUCUUGUCAAAUUUUCUAAUUGCCCCUAUUCCUUUCAAAUCGGGUGAUUCUUUCACCUCGCCUGGAUGUGGUUCUAUCUCCCUCCCCUUUGAGUGAGGUUAUAUGCUAAGCUCUUUAUGUGGAAGAUCUUUCUUUCAUGCAUGCGUUGGGUUGUUUGUGUCUUGUUUAGUUUGGGUUUUAUUGAUGGAAGAGCUUCUAGAUCAGCAAAUGAUGUAUUCUAGUAGAGGAAGCAGCCACGGAGCACGAAUGGAUUGUCGAUAAAUGAUUCUCUUCCUAUUUUGUUGGCAUGUAGAGGCUGCUUGCAUUGGUUCUGAUGGAAAAAACUUCUUGUGAUUAUGAAAAUCUCUCAUUUCCUUUCUACGACUUCUGGCUUUCUUUCAUCUUUAGUCAGACGAUGCAUGUACCUCUC
rnacentral:lncRNA from 1 species